CACUGAUCACAGUUUCCAGAUGCCGAAGACCUGAACUGAAUUUGCCCAUGUUCUGCAUGUGCAUCCACAUUUGCCCUUCAGCAUCAGGGCCUAUGGGAUUCACACAAAGGAGCUAUGGAAAAGGUGGAAAAACCUGACAGUCUGCCCAUUUUUCCUCUUGAGCAGCACCCAGGUUCAGAACUGGGUUCUCUGUCAAGAGAGGUGUGAUGAGGAUGAGGUGAUGGGAGAGGGAAGUGUAACAGAGGCAGACACUUCACAGCAGCAUCCUGAGACACCCCAGUCCUGCCACAAACAGCUGGUGCAUAAUAAAUUCAUGAUAUGCAUAUUUUAUGCUGUUUUCAUGAGACACUCACAUAUGGCCAUACCUGCUGCUGGCAGGGCUGGAGAAAGAACGCGAAGUUCACACCAAGGGCUCCUCUGACAGCAGAUUAUAAGGAAUAAUCACUGCCCAAAUAUUAGCCCUCAACAAGACACACAAAUUACAGGUGAUUAUUUUUUCUUGGACUGCCAAUAAAAGGCCCAUGAAAGGUUAGCAGAGCUCUGCUUCACAUCUCACAGAUUGUGAAUAAUUACAGCCUUCAAACCUUUGUAUGGAGAGACCUGAGCCUUUUGCCCUUAGGAGGAAAAAAGAUGAAUUGUAGUUUCUUCUUAGGAUGCUCCUCCCACCUUCUGCCAUGGAAGUGGUAUGAAAUGACUGUGAUAGUUCCCUUUCCCCAUUUCUCUCUUUGUCUGAAGUGCCCAGGAAAAAGCACCAAAGGUUUGAACUACAGAGCUGCAAUUUCCAGUUCUGUAGUGCCAGCUGAUUUGGUGGAUCAGGGCAGAAAAUAAUGCAUUUGAGACAUGAAUCCUGAGUUCCCAGGGGUCAGGAGCACUCACAACACUGUGUGAGAAAGCCUAUUGAUUCAGAGCUUGAAUGUGCAGCUGCAUGUGUGCUCAUGCACAUCAGAAAUAGGAUUGUUACGUCAAGGGCAUCAAAAUAACAGGACAAAACAGAGAGAGGUCAGGGAACUGGGAUCAGGGAACUGAUCCAGAAGGAUGAAGAAGGUAAUUGGAUCUUAUGUGCAUCUCCUUUGAGCAACGUCCACCAGCCUGCCUGGACUGUGUAAGAGGGCAUCAUGUGGGGAUAUUCUCCCCAGAAAAGGCAGGGAUAUAAAUACCAGCUGAGGUCUCAGAGCUCAGAGGAUACACAAACAGUGCUUCUGCAUGAAGAAUUUAUUUUUUCCCAGUUGGAAGGGGGAAAGAAAUUCCUUACAGUAAGAUGCAGACACAUUGAAAUGGGUGUUAUCACCUACGAGAGAGCAGCUUUUAUGGGCCAUGAGGAAAGUACCGAAGAUCCUUCUGGAAAGGCAGUUACUUAUGGCUCUGAUCCUGAAGAGCAUCCUCUUACAGGGAAGCCCUUAAGAACAGGCUUAGCUUUCCUUUUUAUCCUCGAACUUCAGGACAGGUUUAUGCACUAUCUUCAACUGAGCACAGGAUGUUUUAGCAAGAACUAUCUAAUUGGGUUGCUUCCAGCAAGUCUUAGCAUGCAGCUCUCCUACCCCAUAGGCACCAGCACAGACAUUCCAGAUGAAUGCUCAUACCCAAGGUUUUAAACUUUAGGCCAGUGAAUCAUUAUCCUCUCAUGAGAACAGGAGUGGCAAGUAACAGGAUACAACUGUAGUGGGGAGAAGACCUUUAUGGUCACGUGUUGCAACCUGCAGUUAUGGCAAAGAAGAUACAAAUGACUUAAAACAAAUGGGUUUUCCCUAUAUUGCACAUCUUUGGUAGGAGAAUCCAUCCUUUAUUUCUGUGUAUACAAAGCUUAAUGCAGUUAUACUGCUGUCCAUGGGAGAGGCUCAGAGAUACUAUUGUGUUCUAGCAAUAAAUAGCUAUAAUACUGUUCCCAUAUACCUGUUCCUGAGGAAGCACUGGUGCUUGUCCUCUAAACAGAACAGCUGAAUGUUGAAGACCACAAGUGUGAGAAACAACCCAGCUUUUGCAGAACAGCUUUUAUUUCAGUAGGCUCAGGGCAAGGUACAACACAUCUCUGUGUCGGGCUGCUCAAGCCU